AGCGUGCGUGCUCAAGUCGAAGUCUCGCCGUCGCCCGUCGCUGCCUUCGCCAUUUUCUCCCGUUGCCCGGUCAGCCCGGUCAUCGAAGUUUCCGAAUUGCUCAGCUGUGCCGGCUGUGCGUGCCCGUGUCCUGUGUGUGCGCGACUCUGAUCUCAACGCUGGACGUGAACGGCAUUUAGCGACGGCAGUGCAACAUCGCGUACUGUGAGCGUGUUCGUGUUGGUUUCAUGAUGGUCUGAAGACUCAAGCGUGCUUGCACCUUCGUGUAUUCGUGUUCGGCCAGCACCUGGUUAGGCACAGUCGGAAAUGCGAACGAUGGUGCUCAAGAUGGCACAUGCAACGCUAUGCAGCUGUGGACACCAGCAGCUUGAUAAGAACUCUUGAAGCUCAUCUGGAUGCUUCACAGAACCUGGGAAGACUGAACACUUUUGGCAAAGCAGCAACAGUCCUGGCCCACCUGUUUGUCUACAAGACGGUCUCUUCUGUGAACACUCCUGUGCCUUACAGUAUACUAUACUGAUGAUCUUGUACAUCUCUCAGUAUUUAGGAUUGUCAGCACUUGGACUGCUGCACUGUGUUAUGCACGGUGCUGAGUCCAAACUUUCCAAUAACAGUAUGCAUUUGAAAAUUUUACAUGGCUUGAAAAGAUGCUGAAUGUAAACUCAUUUAAUUUACUAAGCAUGGUUCUUUACUGUUUUACAGCCGUUAUUUAUUCCCUGGUCAAUUUUUAUUCAACCUCAUGGCAUGUCCAGUCCUUGGCUCUAAUGUGCCAAGCCACCACCAGUAUUGAUGGGCAAUUUUUAAUUCAAAGCAUGUUAUUGCCUAACUCCGAGGUAACUUUCCUGUCACGGUAUUCGCGGAUUCAUUUUCAAUGUGGCACUUCUGCAUGAGCCAUAAAUUGAGCUGUUGAAGGUGACGAGGAACCAAUUUUCCGGUCGCAUUUCAUGGCACUAGCGGGCAUGUAAAUAUUGUAACCAUUGGUCUACUAUUUAUGCAUAAUAAUGCGGGUGAAUAGGGUUGCGAAAUAAUGCCAUGUUCCCAAGCUUAACUUUAUAAAUUUACAUUAUUUCUUAAAAAUAUGUGAAUAAAGGCGACUGUGUUUACAAACCUUGGCAGAUGGAUCUAUGGUCGACACCACAGGUCUUUAUACAAAACAUUGAACUGCACAAUCAUGCGUAACAUGUUUUCAUGCCUGAGGGCAAACUAAUGCUAUAUAUAAGAAAAAUGGUACACCACCAUGCCUAAGUGUUGCAAGCCUUUAUUACUUAUCGAGUUGCCUUCAUGUGUAAGCAGACACCAAGUUCUCUGUGCAUCAGAGGCAUAGGCAGAAAUUUUUUUCGGGGGGGGGGGGGGUCGUCUCCUUGAUUUGAAGUGGGAGCCGGGCAGGCAGAUGUGUUCAGUUGUCAUUUUGGGCUCUGUAUGCCAUAGCAAAAAAAAAUUUCGAGGGGGGGGGGGGCGAGGGAUGCCCGGUGGUGUGCCCCCCUGGCUACGCCACUGCUGUGCAUGCCAUCUCUUUGGAUUGUACUUGCAUACUGGCAUUUCGAAGUGUAUGUGUCUUGCUUUGUGAUGAAUUUUCGAACUAUACUUUCAUAAUAUUUUACUGCUGUGAAUUAGUGCUCAGGUUGCAUUGUGUAUGUUGUUUCAUCUCUUCAAUAAUGAGCAUAGGUUCUGUGGUAGAUGAAAAUGUAUAAUUUACAUUGACAUUGUGAAUGUUAUUGUUUUGAUUCUAAUAAAGUGCUACAACCAGCA